GGCCGCCUGAGCAGCGUGGGACUUUAUUUCUGGGGGCCUGAGGGUCGACGGUGCAGCGAGUCUCAGAUAAAACGGCUCCAGAUUUCAGAAGGGCGAUAUUCGAGACUUGGUGGCAGCCCCGCUGGAGAACGCAGAGGCCACGGAGGCUAGAGGGUUCAAAAUCUUGGUUGAAUGCUUCUUGAGCUCCUUGCCUGGUGCUGGACUCAAAGGAUCCAAAGGUUGUAAUGGGAAUAAGGCAGACCACUUGGAUCGGGACAGCAACCGUAUCCACCCUCGCAGAAAACCAAGCACAUGCGAACCUCCUUCAAGCACCACCAGCUUUGGACCACGAAAUCCUACUUUGCUAUCAACCAUAACCCAGAUGCAAAGGACCUCAAGCAGCUUGCCCAGAAAACAGGCCUGACCAAAAGAGUUUUGCAGCCUGACCUCCAUCAUUGGCUGUGCAUACAUCUCCCUUCCUCUCACCAGUAAAAAUAGUUCUCUUCCUUGAUUAAAGUGAUUCAGAUACGUCCCCUACUGCUUCUUAUCAGUUUAUCUUAGUUAUCUCCCUAAAGGGACUUCCUGGAGGGUGCUCAUAGAGAGACUUGGGUCUUUCUAAGUGCAGCAACAUUCUCCCUACAGAUGGGGAGAUGGGUCCUCCAAACCAGCACAGCUCGCCUCACUGCUGUGCAAAUGCGAGUGACGUUAUUUAAACAAGUCAUGGCUCUAGACAUUUCCAUUCACAUUAGGCUCAGUGCACAGACUUGUGAGGGACCCACUGGCACUGCCUUACUUCAGCAAACUCUUGACAGCCUCACUCACAUGCU